CGUAAAUAUAUGGAAGAACACCAGUGGCGAAGGCGGCUCACUAGGCCAAUACUGACGCUGAGACACGAAAGCGUGGGGAGCAAACAGGAUUAGAUACCCUGGUAGUCCACGCCCUAAACGAUGAGUACUAAGUGUAGCCAGAAGGCUGUGCUGAAGUUAACGCAUUAAGUACUCCGCCUGAGUAGUACGUACGCAAGUAUGAAACUUAAAGGAAUUGACGGGAUCCCGCACAAGCGGUGGAGCAUGUUGUUUAAUUCGACGAUACGCGAAGAACCUUACCAGGUCUUGACAUACUCGGCAAAUCUAUAGAGAUAUAGAGGAGGUUAACCGGGAUACAGGUGGUGCAUGGUUGUCGUCAGCUCGUGUCGUGAGAUGUUAGGUUAAGUCCUGCAACGAGCGCAACCCUUAUUGCUAGUUACCAUCAUUAAGUUGGGGACUCUAGCGAGACUGCCGGUGAUAAACCGGAGGAAGGCGGGGAUGACGUCAAAUCAUCAUGCCCUUUAUGACCUGGGCUACAAACGUGCUACAAUGGCUGACACAAAGAGAAGCGAGCUCGCGAGAGUAAGCAAACCUCAGAAAAGCAGUCUCAGUUCGGAUUGAAGUCUGCAACUCGACUUCAUGAAGUUGGAAUCGCUAGUAAUCGCGAAGCAGAGUGUCGCGGUGAAUACGUUCCCGGGCUUUGUACACACCGCCCGUCAAACCAUGAGAGUUUGUAAUACCCGAAGCCGGUGGCCGAACCGCAAGGAAGGAGCCGUCUAAGGUAGGACAGAUGAUUGGGGUUAAGUCGUAACAAGGUAUCCCUACGAGAACGUGGGGAUG
rnacentral:rRNA from 1 species